CCUGGGUCCUUAGUGGACCAUGAUAAAGGUUUUUAACAGAGAAGUGCUAUGAGACUUAAAUGAGCGAAGUAAUAUAAAGCUGUUGGAACUGCUCCAGACCCAUGGUGAAUACGCAGUAAGAGUUGCAGGGGUGAAAACGUUGCCUGAAGGUCAGCGGCAGAUACUUCAAACAUUCAGAUGUCCAAGUUCAGCUUCUUAAGCAGGAGCCUAGGAGGUUGCGUUUCUGGGGCUGAGCCAUUACUGCUGUUUUUGAAGCUGCCACCAUGAGGGCUCACACGUCAGCUGCUACAGACAGAUGAGAAGGCAAGAGAAUUGAAUGAAGGAGUUGUUUAGCCAGGCUGUGCACCGUCUCUAGAUCUGGAUGGCACACAUAUCCUGCGUUCUUUGCAACCUGACUAAGCAUGGCUAAGAACCUCCUCACGCAGUCCAUGCAGCUCACAAAGCACUUCCCUAAGAGACGGAGUUCAAAAAAGACUCACCACCUUCCUCUUUUUGUAUGUGAGGGGAUCAUAAAACAAAGAACCUAAUUUUCAUGAAUCACAGAAUAAAGACGUCUUAUAUUCUGUA